rnacentral:rRNA from 1 species
UUUUUAUAAGGAUAACUACGGAAAAGCUGUAGCUAAUACUUGCUUUAAUGCGUUUGAUUCAUUUUUGUGUCUUGCGUAUGUACUUGUUAAGCCUUUAAGAAAAAAGUUUACAACUUAAGGAAUUAUAACAAAGAAGUAACACAUAAUAAGUUUACCUUAUUUAGUGUGUAUCAAUCGAGUUUCUGACCUAUCAGCUUUUGAUGUUAGGGUAUUGGCCUAACAUGGCUAUGACGGGUA